GUAGGUGGCAAGCGUUGUCCGGGAAUUAUUGGGGCGUAAAGCGCGCGCAGGCGGUUCUUUAAGUCUGAUGUGAAAGCCCACGGGCUCAACCGUGGAGGGUCAUUGGAAACUGGAGAACUUGAGUACAGAAGAGGAAAGCGGAAUUCCACGUGUAGCGGUGAAAUGCGUAGAGAUGUGGAGGAACACCAGUGGCGAAGGCGGCUUUCUGGUCUGUAACUGACGCUGAGGCGCGAAAGCGUGGGGAGCAAACAGGAUUAGAUACCCUGGUAGUCCACGCCGUAAACGAUGAGUGCUAAGUGUUAGGGGGUUUCCGCCCCUUAGUGCUGCAGCUAACGCAUUAAGCACUCCGCCUGGGAGUACGGCCGCAAAGGCUGA
rnacentral:rRNA from 1 species